rfam:Triticum urartu cultivar G1812 contig958223, whole genome shotgun sequence.
GAUCUACUCCUUCCGUUCCAAAUUACUCGUCGCAAAAAUGAAUGUGUGUAGAACUAAAAUAUAUCUAGAUAUAUCCAUACCUGCGAUAAGUAAUUUGGAACGGAGGGAGUAGGUC